rnacentral:lncRNA from 1 species
UCUCAUGAAAUAUGAUGCCUAUUGGAAUUAAUUUGGUCACCUGCUACAUUUUUUUCAUUAAUACAAGCUUUAAUCCUUAUUUUUGUGCAAAUAGUGUAAUAAUUUCAUUAAUCGACCAUAAGGAUUGACUUUAUUAGCUACUCUGCAUACAUCGCUUACAGGAUGGUAUCUCUUUCCCUUGUGCCCCUCAGAAAAGCAAGAACUACUGCUAAAUCAGAAGGAGUAUAUAGGACUAGAGUCUGGUCUUUUAGCAUUUAACCCUUUUAUGUAAAGGAUUUUGAUGUUCAAAAAGCAAUUACGCGAAGGAGGUUUUCUUGAACAGAUUUUUGAGUGGAAUAUGUAGUGAGGUAUGUACAGAAAGAAAAUUUGUGUAUCUUAAACAUGUUAAAAAAAUAUUUGUAAUAUCUGCACUUUAUAUCUUCUACUGCUUAUUAUUGUUCUAAGAGGGUAAAUAAAAAUAUUCUUGUUGGUAUAUUAGGGUAAUUUGAUAUUAGUUGCUAAGACACUACGGCUUGCAUUCAGAGAUUUCAAAUUACGCUCCAAGCAUGCUUGUUAAAAGAGAAAAAGCAAAAUAUAAUUAAUAAGAUAUUGGAUGGUAAAUCUCUAAUUUUUGAAAUUGCAGUAUGUAUCGAGGAAACUCUAUUUCCUUCUUGAAAUUGUAGCAGUUCAAAUGUCAAUAAUGCAAUUGCAGCAUUUAAGCAUUCCAUUCUUUUAGCUGUCAUGACCAAGUCUUGGCAAUCUUUGCCUUUGUGAUAAGAUUUGUACUUCUGAAUGUUCCUAACUGAUAGAACAAUUUAAACAUCCAUUCAAUCACUUAUUUUUAAUGCAUAAGGAAGGUGAGUUUUACCUACAAGCUGUAUGGAGCAUUCUUGAACUAGUUAGGUGUAAUUUCAUUUGCUUGCCUAUGUGAAGUUUCAUGAGACUUCUUAUUUGUUGCAGAUUUUUCACCCAGUGGAACCAAAUAAUGAAUCUUCUUAUUAGUUUACUAGCUUAUUUCUUUGAGGUUUAAGGCAGAGCUUAUUGUAAUUCAACUUCUUUGUAGAUAUUAAUUAAUGAACAUCGUAGCUUGCUUUAGGUGCGAUUAAAUAAAUUAUCAUAACUACGGAUAUUGUUCCCAUGGUGUAGUUGUGAUGCCUAAUUUCAAAUUAGAUUUAAAUAUGAGCAUCCUUAGUUUGCUUUAGUGAAAUACAAAUCUUUUAAAGAUAAAUCGAGGUGUGCCAUUCACAAUUGAAUCACCUAAUAUAUGGCCCUCAUAUUAAUAUUAUAACUUAGUGUAAAAAAUAUUUUGAAUAUUCGUAGUUUGCUUUAGGAGCGUUUAUAACAAAAUCCUCAUAGCUAUGGGUACGGUUCCCGUGAAGUAGUUGUGAUACCUAAUUUCCAAGUUCGAGGUACAUUUAUGUGACCCGACCACAACUUCUAAUAACUUUGAUAAAUUAAACAUGUUGUAGAUCAUGGGUACAAUUCCCGUGUGUAUCUUAAACACGUUAGAAAAAUAUUUGUAAUAUCCGCUCUUCAUAUCUUCUACUGCUUAUUGCUGUUCUAAGAGGGUAAAUAAAAAUAUUCUUAUUGGUAUAUUAGGGUAUUUUGAUAUUAGUUGCUAAUACACUACGGCUUGCAUUUAGAAAUUUCAAAUUACGCUCCAAGCAUGCUUGUUAACAGAGAAAGAGCAAAAUAUAAUAAAUAAGAUAUUGGAUGGUAAAUCUCUAAUUUUUGAAAUUGCAGUAUGUAUCGAGGAAACUCUAUUUCCUGCUUGAAAAUUGUUGCAGUUCAAAUGUCAAUAAUGCAAUUGCAGCAUUUAAGCAUUCCAUUCUUUUAGCUGUCAUGACCAAGUCUUAGCAAUCUUUUCCUUUGUGAUAAGAUUUGUACUUCUGAAAGUUCCUAACUGACAGAACAAUUUAAACAUCCAUUCAAGCACCUAUUUUUAAUGCAUAAGGAAGGUGAGUUUUACCUACAAGCUAUAUGGAGCAUUCUUGAACUAGUUAGGCAUAAUUUUCACUUGCUUGCUUAUGUGAAGUUUCAGGAGACUUCUUAUUUGUUGCAGAUUUUUCACCCAGUGGAACCAAAUAAUAAAACUUCCUAUUAGUUUACUAGCUUAUUUCUUUGAGGUUUAAGGCAGAGCUUAUUGUAAUUCAACUUCUUUGU